rnacentral:rRNA from 1 species
UUUAACAGCCGCGGUAUCCUAACCGUGCUAAGGUAGCAUAAUCACUUGCCUAUUAAUUAUAGGCUAGAAUGAACGGGAUCACUCACUUAAACUUAUUUUUAUUUAAAUUUAAAUUAAACUUUAAGUCAAAAUACUAAAUUAAAAAGAAAGACAAAAAGACCCUGAAAACUAUUAGAAAUAAUUAGUUGGGGCAACUAUAGACCACUCUAGCGUCUAUUUUUUUUUAACUCUUAAAAUCUAAAGUAUCCAGUUACUUCAGGGAUAACAGACUAAUUUUAUUAUUUAGACCCAAUAAAUAAUAAAGAUUGGCACCUCGAUGUUGGCUUAUAUUUCCUUCAUAUAGCAACAUAUAUAGAAGGCAGCUUGUUCAUCUGUUAAAUAUUUACGUGAUCUGGUU